UGGGGAAUAUUGGACAAUGGGCGAAAGCCUGAUCCAGCCAUGCCGCGUGUGUGAAGAAGGUCUUCGGAUUGUAAAGCACUUUUAAGUUGGGAGGAAGGGCAGUAAAUUAAUACUUUGCUGUUUUGACGUUACCGACAGAAUAAGCACCGGCUAACUCUGUGCCAGCAGCCGCGGUAAUACAGAGGGUGCAAGCGUUAAUCGGAAUUACUGGGCGUAAAGCGCGCGUAGGUGGUUCGUUAAGUUGGAUGUGAAAUCCCCGGGCUCAACCUGGGAACUGCAUUCAAACUGACGAGCUAGAGUAUGGUAGAGGGUGGUGGAAUUUCCUGUGUAGCGGUGAAAUGCGUAGAUAUAGGAAGGAACACCAGUGGCGAAGGCGACCACCUGGACUGAUACUGACACUGAGGUGCGAAAGCGUGGGGAGCAAAA
rnacentral:rRNA from 1 species